rnacentral:rRNA from 1 species
UUAACUUAAAGGAAUUGACGGAAGAGCACACAAGGAGUGGAGCCUGCGGCUUAAUUUGACUCAACACGGGGAAACUCACUAGGGCAAGAGGGGGGUACGAUGGACAGCCGAUCAGGGCUUUCCUGAUUCCCCCAGUGGUGGUGCAUGGUCGUUCUUAGUUCGUGGACUGAUUUGUCUGGUCUAUUCCGCUAACGAGCGAGAACCUACCCUAUCGUGGUUAGGCGCCUGGGCCCGCCGGCGGUCCCCCGGGGCCGCUGGCUGAAAACGCCCUAAAGUUCGAACAGGAGGGACCGGUACCGCUAAGGUGCCGGCAGCAGGUCAAUAACAGGUCAGUGAUGCCCUUAGAUGCUCUAGGCCGCACGCGCGCUACAAUGGGGCAAAUACCGGGCUCCCUGUGCCGGAAGGCGGCGGGGAAUCCGGGAAAAUGCCCCGUAUCCGGGAUCGCGCCGUGUAACUCGGCGCGCGAACAAGGAAUUUCUAGUAGUCGUGGGUCACCAGCCCGCGACGAUUCUGUCCCUGCUCUUUGUACACACCGCCCGUCGCUCCUACCGAUUGGGCUGCGAGGUGAGUUGCCGGGAGCCCCCCGGGGUUUUCCCCCCGGGGGCAC